rnacentral:rRNA from 1 species
CCUACGGGAGGCAGCAGUGAGGAAUAUUGGUCAAUGGACGAGAGUCUGAACCAGCCAAGUAGCGUGAAGGAUGACUGCCCUAUGGGUUGUAAACUUCUUUUAUAUGGGAAUAAAACGUUCCACGUGUGGGAUUUUGUAUGUACCAUAUGAAUAAGGAUCGGCUAACUCCGUGCCAGCAGCCGCGGUAAUACGGAGGAUCCGAGCGUUAUCCGGAUUUAUUGGGUUUAAAGGGAGCGUAGGUGGAUUGUUAAGUUAGUGGUGAAAGUUUGCGGCUCAACCGUAAAAUUGCAGUUGAAACUGGCAGUCUAGAGAACAGUAGAGGUGGGCGGAAUGUGUGGUGGAGCGGUGAAAUGCUUAGAUAUCACGCAGAACACCGAUUGCGAAGGCAGUUCACUGGACUGCAACUGACACUGAGGCACGAAAGUGUGGGUAUCAAACAGGAUUAGAUAUCCGUGUAGUC